ensembl:lncRNA
UGACAGUAUAAAUAUGCAAUGAGUGUUAAUUAUUCAAUGCAUUACCGCAAGGCACUCAAGCACUAUGAUGAUAAGUAUAGUGUAAGAGUACAUAUGAAAAAUAGUAUAGCAACUCACAUUGCAAAGAGUCUGACAAAGCUGAAAUAAAUCGAAAUCUGAAGGAGCGUGCAAACACUGAUAUCUUUACUAGAAAAAUGUUAUUUGACUGAUCUGGAAAAACUAAGAAUGAGAAGACGUCAAGAGGUUGAGACUCCAGCAGAUACGAAAGAUUCUGAAAAUCAGCACGCACUACAAAGUACAAUACAAGAAUAAAAACCUUGAAAGUCCUACAGUCAGAAGAAAUGGGGGAAGAUGGGAAAUACUGUCUGAAGGUCAACAGUACAAACCUAUGGAAGAAAAGUGUGAGGAUUUCAGUGAAAAUUAUGGUAUUUUGUGCCUGAGGCGUGCAAAGCAGUGUGGAUGGCUCUCAGAAACCAAACAUAAAACACUUCAGCUGCAAAGGGAAAUGUUUCAGAAAGUUGUGAGAACACGGGGCUAUCCUGGAAGUUGUUCAGUGACCUUCACAACGGCGGAAACAAGUAACAGCUGCUGCAAUUAAGGAGUCCAGUGGAAGCAAAAUGACAAAAAUCAAACUGUCUGUCUCUGCUGGGGACUGACCCACACCUAUCAAACAACAGUCAGUACUCUUCAGUACUUUCCGCUAGGGAAACAUUAGGUCUCUGGAUCUAUCAACAAC